UGAGAGAACUCGGGUGAAGGAACUAGGCAAAAUGGUGCCGUAACUUCGGGAGAAGGCACGCUGAUAGGUAGGUGAAGCCCCUGCGGGCGGAGCUGAAAUCAGUCGAAGAUACCAGCUGGCUGCAACUGUUUAUUAAAAACACAGGGUCCGGCUGUAAAUCGCUGAGGCGUUUCCUGUAGGCCGGGGCGAGGCGCAGGGAUGCGCCGAGAGGGCGGGCUUUACAGGGAUGUUACCUCCGCCCGUCCCCGAUAAGCCGGAAGGAAUAAGCCGAAGGCAAGGGGAACCUGCGGUUGGAUCACCUCCUUACCUUAAAGAACCUGCCUUUGUAGUGCUCACACAGAUUGUCUGAUGAAAAGUAAAUAGCAAGGCGUCUUGCGAUUGAGACUGUACGUCCCCUUCGUCUA
rnacentral:rRNA from 1 species